rnacentral:rRNA from 1 species
UACGUAGGGUGCAAGCGUUAUCCGGAUUUAUUGGGCGUAAAGGGUGCGUAGGCGGUCUUGUAAGUUAGAUGUGAAAGCUACAGGCUUAACUUGUAGUUGCGUCUAAAACUGCUUGGCUAGAGGAUGCUAGAGGAAAGCGGAACUCAUGGUGUAGCGGUGAAAUGCGUAGAUAUCAUGAGGAACACCAGUGGCGAAGGCGGCUUUCUAAGGCAUAUCUGACGCUGAGGCACGAAAGCAUGGGGAGCAAACAGG